UACGGAGGAUCCGAGCGUUAUCCGGAUUUAUUGGGUUUAAAGGGUGCGUAGGCGGUUUGAUAAGUUAGAGAUGAAAUGUCGGGGCUCAACCCCGAAACUGCCUCUAGUACUGUUGGACUAGAGAAUAGUUGCGGUAGGCGGAAUGUAUGGUGUAGCGGUGAAAUGCUUAGAGAUCAUACAGAACACCGAUUGCGAAGGCAGCUUACCAAACUAUAUCUGACGUUGAGGCACGAAAGCGUGGGUAGCAAACAGG
rnacentral:rRNA from 1 species